AGUGAACGCUGGCGGUAGGCCUAACACAUGCAAGUCGAACGGCAGCACAGUAAGAGCUUGCUCUUACGGGUGGCGAGUGGCGGACGGGUGAGGAAUACAUCGGAAUCUACUUUUUCGUGGGGGAUAACGUAGGGAAACUUACGCUAAUACCGCAUACGACCUACGGGGGAAAGCAGGGGAUCUUCGGACCUUGCGCGAAUGAAUGAGCCGAUGUCGGAUUAGCUAGUUGGCGGGGUAAAGGCCCACCAAGGCGACGAUCCGUAGCUGGUCUGAGAGGAUGAUCAGCCACACUGGAACUGGGACACGGUCCAGACUCCUACGGGAGGCAGCAGUGGGGAAUAUUGGACAAUGGGCGCAAGCCUGAUCCAGCCAUACCGCGUGGGUGAAGAAGGCCUUGGGGUUGUAAAGCCCUUUUGUUGGGAAAGAAAAGCAGCAGGUUAAUACCCCGCUGUUCUGACGGUACCCAAAGAAUAAGCACCGGCUAACUUCGUG
rnacentral:rRNA from 1 species